rnacentral:rRNA from 1 species
UACAGAGGUCUCGAGCGUUAGGCGGAAUCACUGGGCUUAAAGCGUGUGUAGGUGGAUGCCUAAGUACCUUGUGAAAUCCCACAGCUUAACUGUGGAACUGCUUGGUAUACUGGGUGUCUUGAGUCACUCAGUGGCGAGCGGAACAAAUGGUGGAGCGGUGAAAUGCGUAGAUAUCAUUUGGAACGCCAAUGGUGAAAACAGCUCGCUGGGGGUGUACUGACACUGAGACACGAAAGCCAGGGGAGCGAACGGG